CCGAGCUCCGCCCGAGCGAGCUGCGCCCGCCCUUAGCUUCACAACAUUCCCCGGAGGCCCCGCCCCCUCAGCCUCCCUUGGCAACCGUCUCCCCGCAGGCGGGGCCGGCCCCGCCUCCUCUGCUCUCGACGCAGCCUCCGGCCCGGAUCUCCCAGGAUGCAGCGCGCGGGCGGGAGGUUUGGAGCCCCGGGACCCUGCGCCCGCCCAGGGCGUCUCGAACGUGGCGGCUCUGGGACGCAGGUCCUCGCGCGGUGAGGUGUGCAGCAUAUUGAUUCAACAAUUCUAUACAUUAUUCAGUGCUCACCAUGGAAUAGUGACUUCCUUAAGGUCCUAACGCUGCACUGUUUUUACAAAGUUUAAAAGCAUCAACUGUGGGAUGCCUUAGUGGCUCAGUGGUUGAAGGUCUGCCUUUGGCUCAGGGCAUGGUCCCGGAGUCACAAGAUCGAGUCCCACAUCGGGCUUCCUGCUUGGACCCUGCUUCUCCCUCUGCCUAUGUCUC